UACGUAGGGGGCAAGCGUUAUCCGGAAUUACUGGGUGUAAAGGGAGCGUAGACGGUAAUGCAAGUCUGGAGUGAAAGGCGGGGGCCCAACCCCCGGACUGCUCUGGAAACUAUGUUACUAGAGUGCAGGAGAGGUAAGCGGAAUUCCUAGUGUAGCGGUGAAAUGCGUAGAUAUUAGGAGGAACACCAGUGGCGAAGGCGGCUUACUGGACUGUAACUGACGUUGAGGCUCGAAAGCGUGGGGAGCAAACAGG
rnacentral:rRNA from 1 species